rnacentral:rRNA from 1 species
GUCCUAGCCGUAAACUCUGAGAACUUGAUUGAAGGAUCCUCCAUAGUCUUUCAGUCGUAGCGAAAGUGUUAAGUUCUCCGCCUGGGGAGUAUGGUCGCAAGGCUGAAACUCAAAGAAAUUGACGGGGGCUCACACAAGCGGUGGAGGAUGUGGCUUAAUUCGAGGCUACGCGAAGAACCUUAUCCUAGUCUUGACAUGCAUUUCUAAGUCGGUGAAAGCCGGCGACCGUAGCAAUACGGAACUUGCACAGGUGCUGCAUGUCUGUCGU